AGAUUGAACGCUGGCGGCAUGCUUUACACAUGCAAGUCGAGCGGCAGCGCGGGGGCAACCCUGGCGGCGAGCGGCGAACGGGUGAGGAAUACAUCGGAACGUACCCCGGAGUGGGGGAUAACGCCGCGAAAGCGGCGCUAAUACCGCAUAUGCUCUGAGGAGGAAAGUGGGGGACUCGCAAGGGCCUCACGCUCUGGGAGCGGCCGAUGUCCGAUUAGCUAGUUGGUGGGUAAAGGCCCACCAAGGCGACGAUCGGUAGCUGGUCUGAGAGGAUGAUCAGCCACACUGGGACUGAGACACGGCCCAGACCUCCUACGGGAGGCAGCAGUGGGAAUUUGGACAAGUGGGGCAACCCGUGACUCCAGCCAGUCGCCGCGUGGCGGGAAGAACGGCCGUUACGGGUUGUAAACCGUACGUUUUAGGUACGGGUAAAGUAAAAGGUUAACGUACCCUAAACGAGGUA
rnacentral:rRNA from 1 species